rnacentral:tRNA from 1 species
GGAUGAUUAGCUCAGUUGGUUAGAGCACAGCAUUCACAUUGCUGGGGUCACUGGUUCGAAUCCAGUAUCAUCCA